GAGGCAGGGGCUUGCGCUACAACACUCUUCCUGGGUGGUCUACUGGUUUCGGUUGCAGGCUUUGGCCGCACUGCUGGAGGCUUGUACUCAACAGGACGAGAAUAGAGUGCACCAGAGAGCUUCUCACGUAAAUCCCUUCCACCUCCAGGUCCCCGCCCACUUUGUGAAGCUUGCUCGAUACUCUUUCUUUGGAGCUUCAGGCGAAGAUCUCUGACACCAACCUUUCGACCUUUACAGGUCAUAGAUAAAACCACAGCAAUAUCAGCCAAAUCAUGACAACACUACAAAUAUUAACGGGGCUUCAAUUAGAAUAAGACUCUAUACCUGAGACUUGGGGUUCGCUGCCCUCGAAAAGGUCAUGUUCCCAUUUGUCAUCGUCUUCUCUUUGUCUGCAUGAAAUAAUUGAAUUUGCUAAAUAAAGGGCCUCAUUUGCUCCAGGAAAGGAAAAACAGUGAUCUUCUAGAUACUUCUUCCACAAGAAAAAAUGCCCUGCUUCAUUCCAAUUAAACAGACAUUUCACACUUAAUCUUACAACAUAUUAUCAUGGGCUCUCUACAUGCUACCAAAUUCACCAAUAGAUCUGCAGCCUCAAAUGUCCUCUACAAGAAAGUGACAAUUAUAUCCAAAAAACACCAACCUCAACUCUUAAUUCACCAAGAAAACAAGGAAGUUUGGCAUCUGAACUUAUUAAAAUCUACAAACAAAUUUUUACACACAAACCCAUCAACCUCCCCUAAAUUAGUACAUAGCAUUUUCCAGAACCUAAAGAUUCGGCCAUUCAUAGCCACAAAUCAUGACGCUUCAUACUGCUUCCAAUUAAAACUAAAACAGUUGCCCUACCACUGCAACAAACGAGACUUAAAUCUGCUCACCACGCAAAACUCAAAAAUUCCCCCCGGAUACUUAAAGGAACGGUAAUAAACCUAACUCGGACGAACUUAGAGGGAGAGUAAGUGGAAGUUAACCUCUUGCCGGAGAUAGGUCUGCGGCGGCCGGGACCGGCGGCGGAUUUCCUUCAAGGCGAUCCUUGACCGACCUAUUAGCUUGAGCCUCAAUUUGAUCAGCGUACAUUGUGUACUAAAAUCGACCAAAAAAUUUCCAGCUCAAAACCCUAAGCCCCAACCCAAAAUCCCGAAUUGGCAAAUGAAAAGGGAGAAGGGGGGAAAAAAUGUUGCUGCGUAGUUGUGAGAGAAGGAGCGAAUGCAAUUUUAGGGAAAAUGCAGAAAACCCGAUACGCUAGCCCUUUUCGGAGUUUUAUGGAGUAUAUGUAUAUAUAUAUUUAUUAUUGUAUUUACUCCAAUAAAAUAUAAUGAGCUGAUUAAGAUUCCAUAAUAUGGAAUAAGCAUCUUCAAUAUGAGAUAUAUAUUAAUAAAAAUUGAAUGUGAAAUAUUAAUAUCUGUAUAUUUUUCGAGUAAACAAUGCAAUGAAUAUUAGUAGUAGUAAUUUUCUUAAAAAAAUAUUGAAUAUUAGUACGGAUGUUUUUCCCCUUUGAUUGAAUAUUAGAACGGAUUUUGUAAGGUGGGGUAUAAUAUAAAAUAUUUCAUUGACAAUGAUUUAUAUUAUUGUUCGAUACAAACUAAGAAUAAUAAUAAUGAAAACAUAAAAAUUAUAGAAAAUGAUGAGUCCAUUAAUUUUUUUAUGAGAGAAUUUAAUUUUUUUUUUCUAAAUCAUAUUAUUUUUAAUGGAACAAAUAGAAAGGGAAAGUAAAUUUUUAUCAAUACCACGGAAUGAGUACUAUUUUAAUUUUUAAGGUAAAUAGUUAAUUGCAAGUCCAAGAGGGAUUUUCUUUUCUUUUUUGUUAAUUGGUAUUAUUAAGUAAAAAAGGUUAGUUGGCAAUAACUCAUGAAUACGGUCUAGUACUCUUAUUCCAAAGUUCACACCUUGAUCUAAUUCUUUGCUGCUCAAAUUUUAAAUACCUAUUUAUUUUUAAUUUAAAUGUCGUAUGAUAGUGGAUUUAAAUUCAAAACUUUAAAAAUUAAAAAUUAAUCAUUUUAUUAUUAGACCAAUUCAUUACCUUUUCACCACUUAAUUACGUUACUAUUAGUCAUUGUGAAACUGGAAUGCUUUGGUUUAUAUUGUAAAGGGGUCAUGGUAAAAAAAUACACAAAUUUUAAAAAAUUAUAAUUUUCUACGUGAACUUUCAAUUAAAUCAAAAUAUACAUAAAUUUAUAUUUUAGUUGCAAUUUUUCACUUAAAUUUGACUUCCAACCAAUUUAGAGCUUAGUUGGCCGUCGAAAUUAAGUCAAAUAUAUUAAUUUUUGUCUUCUUAGACCUCCAAGCUUCUUNAACGGAUAAGAUUGGUAGUUUUUUACCUUCUGCUGAACCUUUUUCUUUGAUACAGAGCUAGAACCUUUGCUUCUGAGGCAGGGGCUUGCGCUACAACACUCUUCCUGGGUGGUCUACUCGUUUCGGUUGCAGGCUUUGGCCGCACUGCUGGAGGCUUGUACUCAACAGGACGAGAAUAGAGUGCACCAGAGAGCUUCUCACGUAAACUCCCUUCCACCUCCAGGUCCCCGCCCACUUUGUGAAGCUUGCUCGAUACUCUUUCUUUGGAGCUUCAGGCGAAGAUCUCUAACACCAACCUUUCGACCUUUACAGGCCAUAGAUAAAACCACAGCAAUAUCAGCCAAAUCGUGACAACACUACAAAUAUUAAC
rnacentral:lncRNA from 1 species